CCACAGUCGAGAGAGUGCAGACAGAAUUCUCCUUGACCUGAUAGCCUGACAUGUCGCCAAGCAUGAACUUGAACUACUGAUCCGGCUGCUUCAUGCUCCCGGAUGCUGGGAUUACAGGAAUGCGCAGCCAUGGAGGGGUUUAUGCAGUGCUGGGGACGAAGUCCUGGGGUCUGUGCAUUCUAGACAAGCACUCAGCCACCUGAAAUACACGCCCAGCCCCUUUGCUCUUCUCCUUGAGUGCAACCUGUCCAGACUCUGUGUGUUAGGAACUCCGAGGCAACAUUGACAGAAGUCCAAGCAUUGGGACGGAACCACUGGCCUUUGAAACUCCAGGGGCUUGACCUACCCAUUUCAGCAGGAAGACUUGACCGUCAAUACAUGGAGGAAGAAAGUGGGAACCCAGAGACAACCUGGUCCUCGGAUAUGCUUAAAAACAGAAACAGGGCUGGCUGACUCCGUUUCAGAGAUGCCUGGGGCCGUCUGAAUUUCCAUGCUGGAAAUCCUGUGUCCUAGGAAAUUAAGCACUGGACACCUGGUAAUCAAGUGCCCUGGUCCCCAGAGUGACCUUUCUAUGGAAGGUAGAAAAUAUUAUAGCUGGCCAGAAGGUAGAAAUUUGCUGCCUCCUCCUCCUUGGUUAUAUCCUGAGGGUACCUGCGGGCUCCCUGUGGAUAGGGGCUGAUUAUAAAUGCCAUUUCUCCAGCUUUUCUCAAUUUCACCCUCCUUUUUACCUCUGUACCUUCUCCCCACCAGUCAGAACUCUUGCUCUGGCAUUUGGGCCAUAGCAGCCAUAGGAGACUCCAGGAUACACACCAAGAAGAAACAAGAGAAACAUUUCAAUGCAGGGUAUGGGCUGCACAUCGGGGGCUGAGGAGGUGUAAUGCACAUGUGUACUACACGAGGCCCCAGAACAUUGCUUAUUUUAGUCAAUAGCUUGUCAAAUAACCCAUUCUGUAUUUUACAGACUUCUUAAGUUCUUGAUAAGUCUUCAUUGAUAAUACCUAUCUCUGUAA